rnacentral:rRNA from 1 species
AUGUGGUUUAAUUCGACGCAACGCGAAGAACCUUACUGGCUUGACAUCCCUGACAGUCCUGGAAACAGGAUCUUUUCUUCGGAAACAGGGUGACAGGUGCUGCAUGGCUGUCGUCAGCUCGUGUCGUGAGAUGUUGGGUUAAGUCCCGCAACGAGCGCAACCCUUAUCUUUAGUUACCAUCAUUCAGUUGGGGACUCUAAAGACACUGCCCCGGUCAACGGGGAGGAAGGUGGGAUGACGUCAAAUCAUCAUGCCCCUUAUGUUCUGGGCUACACACGUGCUACAAUGGCCGGUACAGACGGACGCAAAGCCGCGAGGUGGAGCAAAUCCUAAAAAGCCGGUCUCAGUUCGGAUUGCAGGCUGCAAUUCGCCUGCAUGAAGUCGGAAUCGCUAGUAAUCGCAGGUCAGCAUACUGCGGUGAAUACGUUCCCGGGCCUU